GAUGAACGCUGGCGGUAUGCUUAACACAUGCAAGUCGAACGGUCACUUCGGUGAUAGUGGCGGACGGGUGAGUAACGCGUGAGAAUCUGUCUUCAGGUCGGGGACAACAGUUAGAAAUGACUGCUAAUACCGGAUGUGCCCUUGUGUGAAAGAUUUAUUGCCUGAAUAAGAUCUCGCGGCAGAUUAGCUGGUAGGUGGUGUAAGAGACUACCUAGGCUCCGCUCUGUAGCUGGUCUGAGAGGACGGUCAGCCACACUGGAGCUGAGACACGGUCCAGACUCCUACGGGAGGCAGCAGUGGGGGAUUUUCCACAGUGGCCGAAAGCCUGACGGAGCAAUGCCGCGUGAGGGACGAAGGCUUUUGGGUCGUAAACCUCUUUUCUCAAGGAAGAUGAUGACGGUACUUGAGGAAUAAGCAUCGGCUAACUCUGUG
rnacentral:rRNA from 1 species